GAACGCUGGCGGCAGGCCUAACACAUGCAAGUCGAACGGUAACAGGAAGAAGCUUGCUCUUUGCUGACGAGUGGCGGACGGGUGAGUAAUGUCUGGGAAACUGCCUGAUGGAGGGGGAUAACUACUGGAAACGGUAGCUAAUACCGCAUAACGUCGCAAGACCAAAGAGGGGGACCUUCGGGCCUCUUGCCAUCGGAUGUGCCCAGAUGGGAUUAGCUAGUAGGUGGGGUAACGGCUCACCUAGGCGACGAUCCCUAGCUGGUCUGAGAGGAUGACCAGCCACACUGGAACUGAGACACGGUCCAGACUCCUACGGGAGGCAGCAGUGGGGAAUAUUGCACAAUGGGCGCAAGCCUGAUGCAGCCAUGCCGCCGUGUAUGAAGAAGGCCUUCGGGUUGUAAAGUACUUUCAGCGGGGAGGAAGGGAGUAAAGUUAAUACCUUUGCUCAUUGACGUUACCCGCAGAAGAAGCACCGGCUAACUCCGUGCCAGCCGCCGC
rnacentral:rRNA from 1 species